GCCUCCGUAGUUUAGUUGGUUAUAACACCCCACUAGUAUUUUACCCACUAAUGGGGAGGUCUGUCGUUCGAAUCGGCACGGAGGCA